AGAAUAGUGUCUGGGGUUCCGUUCUUAGACCCCACUGCUCAGCAGAGGAAGCUGACCCAGAUGGGGGUCCAGGGCCACCCCUACUGGUCCUCAGCACUGAUGGAAAAAAUGAGGGCGAGGGGCUGUUUCUAAAGAUCGCAUGUACGGACAGGACUGGCUGAGGCCCACAGACGGAGACUAGGAUCCCUGGAUGUCAGCAGCUGAUGGAAGUGUGGGGCCUCUGGCACAGGCCCACUGCAGGCGCCAGGAAAGUUGAGGCUCUAGACACCAGGUCAGAAUGCACUGCAGACAGGGGAGCGCAGCCUCGGAGGUUCGGAGCCAGAGAGAGGGGCCCCUGGGGGCCAGUUCACCUCACCCUGUCCCCCAAGGACCCAUUCCACAGAUGGAAAAACUGAGGCCCGGGGAGGGUGGGACCCAGCCAGAGCUGUGACUUCAACAUCUCCUUCCUAUCGUGCCUAAUUGGUGUCACUGGGCCCCCAGUAGGGAAACAGAGGUCAUAAGAGGGGACCCAGUCGUGAGGGGCUUUGACUGGACCCCACACCCAUCUGACCCCCCCCAUGGAAGCAGCAGCCCCAGCAGGGCCCCUUGGAGAGCCACAGGGGAGGCCCUGGCCCUUCUCACAGGGCAGGAGGGCUGCGUCAUUCUCUUCAUUUUCUAGCAAGGGAAACAGUCCACAGAACAUCGGGACCUGGUUUCUCAGCCCCGAGAGUGAGACACUCAAGGAGAAAGGAAGACAGAAGAAAAACAUCGGUCCCACCUCCCUACUCUUGCCUGGGUUGUGCUAGGCUUCUUGAAUGGGGUAAUAUCCCUUCCUGGCUUAUGACCCCCAUUAUCUGCCCAGUUCUCAAAAGGCUGCAUUAGCUGUUAGAGUCAAACUGUUGUUCUCAAAUGUCUCCCAUCUUGAACAAUUCGGUUCUUGACCAAGUUC